CGGCUGCCCGCAGGCCCUGAAAACCAGUGGCGGGCUCGCUAGUCACACCGGGCGUAGUAGCAUACGACCUCGCUCAGGGCGUGCUGCGGGUUCCAGCCGUAAAACGAACCCUUUUCG
rnacentral:rRNA from 1 species